UACGGAGGGUGCAAGCGUUAUCCAGAUUUACUGGGUUUAAAGGGUGCGUAGGUGGGUUGGUAAGUCAGUGGUGAAAUACUUUCGCUUAACGAAGGAACUGCCAUUGAUACUACCAGUCUUGAAUACAGUGGAGGUAGGCGGAAUGCGUCAUGUAGCGGUGAAAUGCUUAGAUAUGACGCAGAACACCAAUUGCGAAGGCAGCUUGCUACACUGUUAUUGACACUGAGGCACGAAAGCGUGGGGAUCAAACAGG
rnacentral:rRNA from 1 species